ACGAACGCUGGCGGCGUGCCUAAUACAUGCAAGUCGAGCGCGGGAAGCGGACUCGUCACCCUUCGGGGUGUCUAGUCCGUGGAACGAGCGGCGGAUGGGUGAGUAUCACGUGGGCAACCUGCCUGUAAGAUUGGGAUAACUCGCGGAAACGUGAGCUAAUACCGAAUGAAGUCUUUCACCACCUGGUGAAAGGAUGAAAGAUGGCUUUUAGCUAUCACUUACAGAUGGGCCCGCGGCGCAUUAGCUAGUUGGUGGGGUAAAGGCCUACCAAGGCGACGAUGCGUAGCCGACCUGAGAGGGUGAUCGGCCACACUGGGACUGAGACACGGCCCAGACUCCUACGGGAGGCAGCAGUAGGGAAUCUUCCGCAAUGGACGAAAGUCUGACGGAGCAACGCCGCGUGAAGUGAUGAAGGUCUUCGGAUCGUAAAACUCUGUUGUCAGGGAAGAACAAGUUGUGUUCUAACAGGACAUGACCUUGACGGUACCUGACCAGAAAGCCCCGGCUAACUACGUGCCAGCCGCCGC
rnacentral:rRNA from 1 species